GUUCAGGACGUGGUGAGGAACUGACUAGGAAGUGGUGAGGAAAGGUUCAGGACGUGGCGAGGAAAGGUUCAGGACGUGGCGAGGAAAGGUUCAGGACGUGGCGAGGAAAGGUUCAGGACGUGGUGAGGAAAUGACUAGGAAGUGGUGAGGAAAGGUGCAGGAAGUGGUGAGGAAAGGUUCAGGACGUGGCGAGGAAAGGUUCAGGACGUGGCGAGGAAAGGUUCAGGAAGUGGUGAGGAAAGGUGCAGGAAGUGGUGAGGAAAUGACGGACCUCUAUAACUAGGUGGAAGCAGGAAGUUGGUUCGUGAACUGUAAUUAUCAGGGACCCUUUUGGUUUUUGUGGUUAACGGUUCAGGUUAGUCUGUGUGAAGAAUCUUGAAAAAUAACCGCUUUAAUCCCGAAAGAAGCGUUUGUGUUCUGUUUAAAGAACACGGGCGACCUGGCGAGGUAGAGGAGCGGAGGCGAGGGAGGACACGUCUCACAUGUCAGGGACGGCGUGAUGAAAGCAGAGCAUAAUGAGGUUAAAAGACCUGGUUCUCACCUCCAGAGGUCCUGAAGGAGGACCCGGUGCUGAGUGACGGGCCCCUUUUGAAAUGGAAAUACGUGACUCCUCUUUUCUCUUUAACGGAGAACCCGGUGGCCCGCCAUGAUGAAGAAGUCCAACAUUAAAUGUUGAUCAGAGAAUAUCAAUGUGAGGCAGCUGCACACGUUGAGCGUGUUUCUUCACAUGCUCUUCGUUAAUAUUUGAACAGAAGAUCAGAGGGAUGGACUUUCUACAGCGACGUUGGACCUCCAGGACUUAAAGAAUCCUUCUCCAACUAAACGCCUGGUGGCUUCACACAGAACGCUGUGUUCUGCUGAUGGAAAGCUUGACGUGUAACACGUAACAUGUAACAUGAUAACAUGUCAUAUCAUCACAUGCACCAGCUGCUAAUUAACAGGAACUUUUAGCAAUAAGGAUUCGGAUUUAGUUCCGUUAGUUUUCCUGUAACGUGAAGGACCAAUAACACGUGACAGGAAGUGACUCUUGUCAUUCUCAAACAUUUGGUAACUUUUUCGCCUCCUCUUCUUUUAUCGUCUCUCCCCUAAAACAAAGCCCUCAUAACUCUUCCUCCCCAUCGGCGUACUGUGUAACGCCCACGUACCUUAAUCUCAAACCCAAGAAGAAGCCUGAUUACCUCCUGCUGCCUGGACCAAUCAGAGAGCAGCACCGGGCCGGCGGGGCGUAAUGUGCGUUAUUAUUAUUCCUGUUGCCGGCUCCUGAUAAGUGGACCGGGCCCUUGAACCGCCGAGUGCUUCUCUGAAUAUACUGCUGCUGGUUUUAUUCCCCCCGGUGGAUCCCUGUCACCUCAGUCAUGCCCCCCCCACGUUUUAUACUCCCGUCCCGUGUUAUUUAUCCACCGCAAUUUCCCCUCGGUGGAGCGCACGGCUAAUGCCGAGUUUUAAUAUGUUAUUUGCACAUAAAAAACAAGCUAUUUACAGCACGCGUGUGCGCAGACGGCAGGAAAACGAAUGCCCCCCCCGGCACCCCCCCGACUCCGAUCUGUUGUAUCGCGGUUUAACAAUCUGGAUGGCUAAUAGAACCAUUUAUCACGGCGCCGCCGUCGGUUCCUCGGCCCCAGAGGCCUGUGGAAAUGCAGACAGAGUCACUUUGUUUAAAGGAGUGGAUCCGACACGCGGGGACUCAAUUAAGGGACGGACGCAGGUGGCUCCGGUCACACGCGGAGCCGCUCCAACGGGACAUAAAAAGAACCUCUGGCACGCCCUCUUUCUU
ensembl:lncRNA